GCCGCGAUUCGCCCUUGGGGUGCAGCAGGCGCGAAAACUUUACAAUGCCGGCAACGGCGAUAAGGGAACCUCGAGUGCCAGGUUACAAAUCUGGCUGUCGUGAUGCCUAAAAAGCAUUGCAUAGCAAGGGCCGGGCAAGACCGGUGCCAGCCGCCGCGGUAACACCGGCGGCUCGAGUGGUAACCGUUAUUAUUGGGUCUAAAGGGUCUGUAGCCGGCCGGGUAAGUCUCUUGGGAAAUCUGGCAGCUUAACUGUCAGGCUUUCAGGAGAUACUGCCUGGCUCGAGGCCGGGAGAGGUGAGAGGUACUUCAGGGGUAGGGGUGAAAUCUUGUAAUCCUUGAAGGACCACCAGUGGCGAAGGCGUCUCACCAGAACGGACCUGACGGCAAGGGACGAAAGCUAGGGGCACGAACCGGAUUAGAUACCCGGGUAGUCCUAGCCGUAAACGAUACUCGCUAGGUGUCGGCCACGGUGCGACCGUGGUCGGUGCCGUAGGGAAGCCGUGAAGCGAGCCACCUGGGAAGUACGGCCGCAAGGCUGAAACUUAAAGGAAUUGGCGGGGGAGCAC
rnacentral:rRNA from 1 species